UUACUGACUACACUACCCAGGUGCCCCAGGGACAUUUUAUUCAUUCAGCAAGGUAGCAUUAAAAAGCAAAAUCUCACCUGUAAUUCUCAGGUGGAAGAUACAUUCCCCCAUUUGUCACAGUUCAUUUACUCUCUCCUACCUUAUAUCUUUCUACAGGCUGUCUGCUUUAAUCAUUUCUAUUACCUGGCUGGCUCUGAAGGCAGAUACAACUGAAACUGCUGGCCUAAGCAUUUAGUGCUUUGAAGAUGAGCUCCAAGGGGAAGAGCCAAACUCGAAGAAACCAGAGCCGUGUGCCUUGGUACGGAAAUAAGUCAUAGAUUAUAUUCUUCCUCGAGUGAAAUACUAUUCCAACUGAAUAUUUAUAUUCUUCCCUCCACUAAAAUGCUAUUGAAAAUGAAUGUGAUUCUUGUGGGAAUUCGAACAUUGCAUAUUGUCCAGUUGACAGAGUCAUUUAUAAAAGUUGGGAUAUCUUAUACCCCAUCCGGGCUUAAUUAGAGUUUAUAAAGAUCACUGGCAGUUGCAAUAGAAAUAUUGUAUGUUUCCUCCCCCCGGUGACUUUCCCUAGUUCUUUUAUGAGGGCCUUUAAAACUCAUUUAAGUCUCGCUGAAGUUAUUCAUAAAGAUAGAUACCAGCCAUUCUCCGGGAGAGUCUGAUCCUCCGCACCUUCCUCUUCCCCCAACAUUUCUUGGAUAACUGCACACAGGUCAGUUCCAAAUUCUGUCGCUUCCCCUAAUAGGCUUUUCAAAG
rnacentral:lncRNA from 1 species